UACGUAGGGUGCGAGCGUUGUCCGGAAUUACUGGGCGUAAAGGGCUCGUAGGCGGCCAACUAAGUCGGAUGUGAAAUCCCCAGGCUUAACCUGGGAAUGGCAUCCGAUACUGGAGGGCUUGAAUUCGGGAGAGGGAUGCAGAAUUCCAGGUGUAGCGGUGAAAUGCGUAGAUAUCUGGAGGAAUACCGGUGGCGAAGGCGGCAUCCUGGACCGAGAUUGACGCUGAGGAGCGAAAGCUAGGGGAGCAAACGGG
rnacentral:rRNA from 1 species